AGCAGCCACGGUAAUUCCAGCUCCAAUAGCGUAUAUUAAAGUUGUUGCAGUUAAAAAGCUCGUAGUUGAAUUUCGGGGUCAGUAGGCUGGUCGUGCCACCGGUACGUACUGGUCUCACUGAUUCCUCCUUCCUGAAGAACCGUAAUGCCAUUAAUUUGGUGUUGCGGGGAAACAGGACUGUUACUUUGAAAAAUUAGAGUGUUUAAAGCAGGCUAACGCUUGAAUACAUUAGCAUGGAAUAAUGAAAUAGGACGUUCGAUCCUAUUUUGUUGGUUUCUAGGAUUGACGUAAUGAUUAAUAGGGAUAGUUGGGGGCAUUAGUAUUCAAUUGUCAGAGGUGAAAUUCUUGGAUUUAUUGAAGACUAACUACUGCGAAAGCAUUUGCCAAGGAUGUUUUCAUUAAUCAAGAACGAAAGUUAGGGGAUCGAAGACGAUCAGAUACCGUCGUAGUCUUAACCAUAAACUAUGCCGACUAGGGAUCGGAUGAUGUUAAUUUUAUAAUGACUCAUUCGGCGCCUUAC
rnacentral:rRNA from 1 species